UACGUAGGGUGCAAGCGUUUAAUCGGAAUUACUGGGCGUAAAGCGUGCGCAGGCGGUUUUGUAAGUCUGUCGUGAAAUCCCCGGGCUCAACCUGGGAAUUGCGAUGGAGACUGCAAGGCUAGAAUCUGGCGGAGGGGGGUAGAAUUCCACGUGUAGCAGUGAAAUGCGUAGAGAUGUGGAGGAACACCGAUGGCGAAGGCAGCCCCCUGGGUCAAGAUUGACGCUCAUGCACGAAAGCGUGGGGAGCAAACAGG
rnacentral:rRNA from 1 species